AAAAAGACAUACCUUGGGUUUCCGUGUCAACGUUUGACCGUCCGUUUUAUAUGAGAUUUUUUUAUAAUUAGUAUUUCUAUUGUUGUUAGAUGAUAAAACAUGAUUAAUACUUUAUGCGUGGCUUGUCUUUUUAAUUUUUUCAUAUUUUUUAAAUAAGACGGACGAUUAACCAUUGGACACGGAAACUCAGAGUUUGUCUUUUA
rfam:Oryza sativa (indica cultivar-group) chromosome 8, whole genome shotgun sequence.